CCAGAGGCUUAGUUGGUAAAGAAUCUGCCUGCAAUGCAGGAGACCUGGGUUCGAUCCCUGGGUCAGGA
rnacentral:tRNA from 1 species